rnacentral:misc_RNA from 1 species
GACCGCGACGGCGCAGGGCGUCGAUCAGUUUGUUGCGGGCAAUCGCGAACAGCCACGGCGCGAACGGGGCGUUGGCGUCCCAAGUGUGCCGCUUCAAAUGCACCGCUAACAAGAUGUCCUGCACGAUGUCCUCGGAUUGGUCGACCGGCUGACCGGCUCUCGCCAGACCGCGGCGCGCCCCUGCUCUCAGGACCGGCGUCACGGCCUUGAGGAGGCGAUGAUAUGCGGCGUUGUCUCCGGCAUUGGCCGAUCGCAUCAGAUCGGUCCACUCGUCCUCACGUCCGCGCACGCGCGCUCCUAUCAAGGCAGUUCGCUCCUGUUCCUAAAGUGUUACGGGGAGAAAUUGCAAUCACGCAAUCGUGAACGAAUUGGUUCCCGAGACCGAACGAGGCUGCGCGGGGCUCCGGCUGUGGGCCUUUG